rnacentral:rRNA from 1 species
GAUGAACGCUGGCGGCGUGCCUAAUACAUGCAAGUCGAGCGAACGGACGAGAAGCUUGCUUCUCUGAUGUUAGCGGCGGACGGGUGAGUAACACGUGGAUAACCUACCUAUAAGACUGGGAUAACUUCGGGAAACCGGAGCUAAUACCGGAUAAUAUUUUGAACCGCAUGGUUCAAAAGUGAAAGACGGUCUUGCUGUCACUUAUAGAUGGAUCCGCGCUGCAUUAGCUAGUUGGUAAGGUAACGGCUUACCAAGGCAACGAUGCAUAGCCGACCUGAGAGGGUGAUCGGCCACAAUGGAACUGAGACACGGUCCAGACUCCUACGGGAGGCAGCAGUAGGGAAUCUUCCGCAAUGGGCGAAAGCCUGACGGAGCAACGCCGCGUGAGUGAUGAAGGUCUUCGGAUCGUAAAACUCUGUUAUUAGGGAAGAACAUAUGUGUAAGUAACUGUGCACAUCUUGACGGUACCUAAUCAGAAAGCCACGGCUAACUACGUG